rnacentral:misc_RNA from 1 species
GCCCGGCUGCCGACUGUAACGCCAUUGACGAAGUGCAAACUGAGACUCUUAAAGUUGGAGCGAAUAAAGGACUAUCUCUUAAUGGAGGAGGAGUUCGUCGCCAACCAGGAGAGGUUGAAGCCUCAGGAGGAAAAAGCGGAGGAGGACCGAUCCAAGGUUGAUGAUUUGAGGGGAUCGCCCAUGAGUGUGGGGAACUUGGAAGAGCUGAUUGAUGAAAAUCAUGCCAUUGUUUCGUCGUCGGUUGGGCCUGAGUAUUAUGUUGGGAU